rnacentral:rRNA from 1 species
CAGCCAGCUGCGUGAAUUAAAUGUUGAAUUUGCAGGACACAUUGAACAUAGACACCUUUGAACGCACAUUGCGGCUCUGGCUCACUGCCAGAGCCACGGCCUGUCCGAGGGUCGGCGAACAAGUCAUCGCACCGGCUGCCGCCGUGAAAAGCGGCUGGCCGGCUGCGCGUUGGCGUGUCGCGCGGGCAAAACAAAGUUCCGCUCGUCCGCCGUAGACUUCAGCCUCUCUCCGCCGUGGGCGGCCUCCGGAACGAAGCGGCGCGGGGACAGGGCUCGAACGGGCCUUCUGUCUUGUGCCACGUCCGACAUCGCUCGGACGACCUUCGCUCCAACGGUACRAGCCGGCGAGCAGAGAGAGCGCGACCAGCGUGUCGCGGCCACAGGAGAACGACCAACACCUUCUACCCAGUAGUAGGCAGGUCGAUCUCUCGCACAUCCGACCUCGGAUCAGACGGGAAUACCCGCUGAAUUUAAGCAUAUCAGUAAGCGGAGGAAAAGAAACUAACCAGGAUUCCCUCAGUAACGGCGAGUGAAGCGG